UACGUAGGGCGCAAGCGUUGUUCGGAAUUACUGGGCGUAAAGGGCGCGUAGGCGGCCUGUUAAGUCGAACGUGAAAUCCCCGGGCUCAACCCGGGAACUGCGUCCGAUACUGGCAGGCUUGAAUCCGGGAGAGGGAUGCGGAAUUCCAGGUGUAGCGGUGAAAUGCAUAGAUAUCGGGAAGAACACCAAAGGCGAAGGCACCCUGCUGGGCCGAUAUUGACACUGACAGACGAAAGCUAGGGGAGCAAAUGGG
rnacentral:rRNA from 1 species